UCUCCUUGGACGGUGAAGUCUCAGAAGAGGAAUUUGCCCAAAUUGACUGGUAUUGCAAGCAUGCCUGAUGGCAAGUACUUGGCUUGGCUUCUGGCCGGGAGAGGCUACUAAAAGUUCAACCUAGAGAUUCCUUAUGAGAAGUUCCAGCAAAGCAGA